rnacentral:misc_RNA from 1 species
GACAUCUGCAUUUCAUAGUCCUGAUUGAAGAUCUUUUUUGGGUAGACCAGGAAGUUGGAUAAGAAGAAGGGAAGUGGCGGAAAAUUGAGUCACUCCGUCGAUUCAACACAAGACAGGUGUUGCUGCUACAAAACCCAGUUGCCAUUUUCUCUCAACUCAAACAAAACGAUCUGUUGAGUGCUCAAGGAUAGAAAAGGUAGUGG